CUGGUGAGUAACACGUGGAUGAUCUGCCCUUUUGUGGGGAAUACCGCUGGGAAACCGGUGACAAUACCGCAUAAGCCCGAGAGGGGAAAGCGUUUCUAUGAAAGUAGGGACGCGCAGAAGGAGGAGUCCGCGGUCGAUUAGUUAGUUGGCAGGGUAAAAGCCUACCAAGACUGUGAUCGAUAGCCGGCCUGAGAGGGCACACGGCCACACUGGCACUGAAACACGGGCCAG
rnacentral:rRNA from 1 species